rnacentral:lncRNA from 1 species
CCAGGCUUUUGCCCGAUACUCGGACUUAGUUGUGGUGCAGACGCCACAAGUAGAAGAUCCAUUAGAAUGCUCAGUACUUCUUUCCAUCUCCAGUGGCAAGGGAUGGACUCUUCACCAUCACAGCUACAAACAUGUGAGCAUGUCCUGCCUAUAUCCUUAAGAGCCAGCCUUCUGCCUUCAAAUAUCACGUCAAGAACAAAGCCCACCCAGCCUGAUCCUGAACAGGGCUUCUGUUUGCAAGGCAGGGUGGCCUUCCAGCACCUGGUCAUGAGUGUGUCAUGUAGCAAGGCCUGUACUUUCCAUGCAUGAAGAACAGAGUUCCAGAUCCAUCCACAUUUGGAAAGGCUCUUCUUCAGUUAUACAAGUGCUGCAGAGCACAGGAUCGCAGAGGAAACCUGCGCACAACUGUGGAACCCCAGUGAAUCUGCUGCCGGCAUUUUGCCCCUCAUCAUCCUGAGGUGGAUUUGAUGAAGUACUUUUCUCUCUUGCAUGUCCUUUCCUCAUCAUCACCCAGGUACAUGACUGAAACACAAGCAAAAUCUGUUGCCAACACAAACACAGAAAAUUUCCAGCAUUCGGCGUGCCUGGCUUCUCCAGAAGGUAACAGGACCUGAUCAUCUUGGGCCCCAUGCUGUGAAAGAUGCCAAUAUGUGGGAGCUCAUAGUUUAUCCU